rnacentral:rRNA from 1 species
UGCAGUCGAGCGAGAUCUUCGGGUCUAGCGGCGGACGGGUGAGUAACGCGUGGGAAUAUGCCCUUCUCUACGGAAUAGCCUCGGGAAACUGAGAGUAAUACCGUAUACGCCCUUUGGGGGAAAGAUUUAUCGGAGAAGGAUUAGCCCGCGUUGGAUUAGGUAGUUGGUGGGGUAAUGGCCUACCAAGCCGACGAUCCAUAGCUGGUUUGAGAGGAUGAUCAGCCACACUGGGACUGAGACACGGCCCAGACUCCUACGGGAGGCAGCAGUGGGGAAUCUUAGACAAUGGGGGCAACCCUGAUCUAGCCAUGCCGCGUGAGUGAUGAAGGCCUUAGGGUUGUAAAGCUCUUUCAGCUGGGAAGAUAAUGACGGUACCAGCAGAAGAAGUCCCGGCUAACUCCGUGCCAGCAGCCGCGGUAAUACGGAGGGGACUAGCGUUGUUCGGAAUUACUGGGCGUAAAGCGCACGUAGGCGGACCAGAAAGUUGGGGGUGAAAUCCCGGGGCUCAACCCCGGAACUGCCUUCAAAACUAUUGGUCUGGAGUUCGAGAGAGGUGAGUGGAAUUCCGAGUGUAGAGGUGAAAUUCGUAGAUAUUCGGAGGAACACCAGUGGCGAAGGCGGCUCACUGGCUCGAUACUGACGCUGAGGUGCG